CUGGGUUCCUUGGAAGGCUGAGGGCUGGAUUUCUCAGCAGGCAGAGUGUAAGGUUCCCCAGCUGAGACAGUGCUGGGACCCUUGCCAAAUAGGGGGCUAGUCUCAACAGGCAGAUGAUUAAACCCAGCAUCUGGGACUACAGUGGAUUCUGCAGGCUUGGGGCUGGAUUUUUCAGCAUGCAGAAAGCUAGGUCGCUCAGCUGGGAUAGUGCUGGGUUCCUUGGAAGGCUGAGGGCUGGAUUUCUCAGCAGGCAGAGUGUUAGGUCCC